rnacentral:rRNA from 1 species
UACGGGGGGGUAAGCGUUGUUCGGAAUUACUGGGCGUAAAGGGCUCGUAGGCGGCCAACUAAGUCAGACGUGAAAUCCCUAGGCUUAACCUGGGAACUGCGUCUGAUACUGGAUGGCUUGAAUUCGGGAGAGGGAUGCGGAAUUCCAGGUGUAGCGGUGAAAUGCGUAGAUAUCUGGAGGAACACCGGUGGCGAAGGCGGCAUCCUGGACCGACAUUGACGCUGAGGAGCGAAAGCCAGGGGAGCAAACGGG